AAUCAACGCUGGCGGCGUGCCUCAGACAUGCAAGUCGAACGCGAAAGUCCCCUUCGGGGGACAAGUAGAGUGGCGCACGGGUGAGUAACACGUAGGUAAUCUACCUUCGGAUGGGGAAUAACAACCGGAAACGGUUGCUAAUACCGCAUAAUGCAGCGGCACCUAAUGGUGACAGUUGUUAAAGCGGGGGAUCGAAAGACCCCGCGUCUGAAGAGGAGCCUGCGGCGGAUUAGCUAGUUGGAAGGUAAUGGCUUACCAAGGCGACGAUCCGUAGCCGGCCUGAGAGGGGCGGUCGGCCACACUGACACUGACAUACGGGUCAGACUCCUACGGGAGGCAGCAGUCGGGAAUUUUGGGCAAUGGGCGAAAGCCUGACCCAGCAACGCCGCGUGAAGGAUG
rnacentral:rRNA from 1 species